rnacentral:rRNA from 1 species
AAACGCUUGAAGUCAGUCGUAUCUGCCAGGACUCAGCCUUGCUUCUGCUUGGUGCACUUUCUGGUCAGAUGGGCCAACAUCGAUUUUGACCGUUGGAAAAAGGCUUGGGGAAUGUGGCACUUUCGGGUGUGUUAUAGCCCU